rnacentral:rRNA from 1 species
AACGAACGCUGGCGGCAGGCCUAACACAUGCAAGUCGAACGCCGUAGCAAUACGGAGUGGCAGACGGGUGAGUAACGCGUGGGAACAUACCCUCCGGUUCGGAAUAACUCAGGGAAACUUGAGCUAAUACCGGAUACGUCCAAGGUUUUAAUCGGCCUCGGAGAAAGAUUUAUCGCUGGAGGAUUGGCCCGCGUCUGAUUAGCUUGUUGGUGAGGUAAUGGCUCACCAAGGCGACGAUCAGUAGCUGGUCUGAGAGGAUGAUCAGCCACAUUGGGACUGAGACACGGCCCAAACUCCUACGGGAGGCAGCAGUGGGGGAAUAUUGGACAAUGGGCGAAAGCCUGAUCCAGCCAUGCCGCGUGAGUGAUGAAGGCCUUAGGGUUGUAAAGCUCUUUACCCGGGAAGAUAAUGACGGUACCGGGAGAAUAAGACCCCGGGCUAACUUCGUGCCAGCAGCCGCUGUAAU